rnacentral:rRNA from 1 species
GAUGAACGCUGGCGGCGUGCCUAACACAUGCUAGUCGAGCGAUUCUCUUCGGAGAAGAGCGGCGGACGGGUGAGUAACGCGUGGGUAACCUGCCCUGUACACACGGAUAACAUACCGAAAGGUAUGCUAAUACGGGAUAACAUAAGAAAUUCGCAUGUUUUUCUUAUCAAAGCUCCGGCGGUACAGGAUGGACCCGCGUCUGAUUAGCUAGUUGGUGAGGUGACGGCUCACCAAGGCGACGAUCAGUAGCCGACCUGAGAGGGUGAUCGGCCACAUUGGAACUGAGACACGGUCCAAACUCCUACGGGAGGCAGCAGUGGGGAAUAUUGCACAAUGGGCGAAAGCCUGAUGCAGCAACGCCGCGUGAGCGAUGAAGGCCUUCGGGUCGUAAAGCUCUGUCCUCAAGGAAGAUAAUGACGGUACUUGAGGAGGAAGCCCCGGCUAACUACGUGCCAGCCGCCGCAGUAA